rnacentral:rRNA from 1 species
GAUGAACGCUGGCGGCGUGCCUAAUACAUGCAAGUCGAGCGAACAGACGAGGAGCUUGCUCCUCUGACGUUAGCGGCGGACGGGUGAGUAACACGUGGAUAACCUACCUAUAAGACUGGGAUAACUUCGGGAAACCGGAGCUAAUACCGGAUAAUAUAUUGAACCGCAUGGUUCAAUAGUGAAAGACGGUUUUGCUAUCACUUAUAGAUGGAUCCGCGCCGCAUUAGCUAGUUGGUAAGGUAACGGCUUACCAAGGCAACGAUGCGUAGCCGACCUGAGAGGGUGAUCGGCCACACUGGAACUGAGACACGGUCCAGACUCCUACGGGAGGCAGCAGUAGGGAAUCUUCCGCAAUGGGCGAAAGCCUGACGGAGCAACGCCGCGUGAGUGAUGAAGGGCUUCGGAUCGUAAAACUCUGUUAUUAGGGAAGAACAAAUGUGUAAGUAACUAUGCACGUCUUGACGGUACCUAAUCAGAAAGCCACGGCUAACUACGUGC